rnacentral:rRNA from 1 species
AAACCUUACUAAGGUAAGACAUUGUUAUGAUUGACAGAUUACUUGAUCUUUCUUGAUUUGGUGGGUGGUGGUGCAUGGCCGAUCUUAGUUGGUGGGGUGACCCGUCUGGUUAAUUUCGAUAACGAACGAGAUCCGAGCUGCUUAGUUGGCAAGAUUCGCUUUGCAUAUUUCAGCCUCCUAUGCGGACUGUCAGCUUCAGGCUGAAGGAAGUUUCGGGCUAAAU